rnacentral:rRNA from 1 species
GACGAACGCUGGCGGCGUGCCUAAUACAUGCAAGUAGAACGCACAGAUUAUACCGUAGCUUGCUACACCAUAAACUGUGAGUUGCGAACGGGUGAGUAACGCGUAGGUAACCUGCCUGGUAGCGGGGGAUAACUAUUGGACACGAUAGCUAAUACCGCAUAAUAUUGAUUAUUGCAUGAUAAUUGAUUGAAAGAUGCUAUUGCAUCACUACCAGAUGGACCUGCGUUGUAUUAGCUAGUAGGUGAGGUAACGGCUCACCUAGGCGACGAUACAUAGCCGACCUGGGAGGGUGGUCGGCCACACUGGGACUGGGACACGGCCCAGACUCCUACGGGGGGCAGCAGUAGGGAAUCUUCGGCAAUGGACGGAAGUCUGACCGAGCAACGCCGCGUGAGUGAAGGAGGGUUUCGGGUCGUAAAGCUCUUUUGUAAGGGAAGAACGGGUGUUAGAGUGGAAAGUUCACGCUGUGACGGUAUCUUACCAGAAAGGGACGGCUAACUACGUG